rfam:Triticum aestivum genome assembly, contig: Triticum_aestivum_CS42_TGACv1_scaffold_289844_4AL
UAAGUACUCCCUCCGUUCCGAAUUACUUGUCUUAGAUUUGUCUAGAUACGGAUGUAUCUAGCACUAAAAUAAGUCUAGAUGCUAGAUACAUCCGUAUCUAGACAAAUCCAAGACAAGUAAUUCGGAACGGAGGGAGUACUAU